rnacentral:rRNA from 1 species
UACGUAGGGUGCAAGCGUUGUCCGGAAUUAUUGGGCGUAAAGAGCUCGUAGGCGGUCUGUCGCGUCGGAUGUGAAAAUCCAGGGCUUAACCCUGGGCCUGCAUUCGAUACGGGCAGACUAGAGUUCGGUAGGGGAGACUGGAAUUCCUGGUGUAGCGGUGAAAUGCGCAGAUAUCAGGAGGAACACCGGUGGCGAAGGCGGGUCUCUGGGCCGACACUGACGCUGAGGAGCGAAAGCGUGGGGAGCGAACAGG